rnacentral:lncRNA from 1 species
GGCUGGUGGGUGCCCUGGGCUGCCCGGCCUGAGCGACUCCCCUCCCCUCACAUGCAGGACUCUGCACCGGCUAUGAAAGAUUUAACCUCCAUCACCCCUGUUCCUCUCCUCCACACUGCCGGGUGUGGCCUGGGACUCCUCUGACUCCUCCAGGCAGCCCACCAGGCUGGAUGGGGGUCCAGUUUCUUUCCAGAGAAGCCAGACUGAGCCCGGCAGGACAGCUGAUGCUCAGUGCACACCGAGAGCGCCGGGAUUAAACAGUAACCAUAGAGAAGACCUCCAGGGCGGUGGGGCGCAUGGAUCAGGAGAAACAGAACUGGGACAGAAGUGGGCUCCUGGUCCCCACUCCCUCUGCUGCAUUUUUUUUCUGAGUGAGCCGCACCAGGAAGCUUCCGCUGGAGACCAAGCUGCACCCACUGUCCUCCUAGUAAUUACUAUCCCAGGGAAAAGCAUGCGGCUGGGAGCACAAGGGGCUGGCCCCACAGGCUCUGUCACCUGGGGCUUCGGGGCCCAUGUAGCCCACUCGGCCCUUGGGGGUGGGCGCAGGAGUCCCCAGGGACGAUUAACCUCGGAUGUUACAGCAAAGAAGGCUGCGAGGAGCUCCAGGCAGACAGCAGCAGGGGCCCUGAAAUGUGGGAGCGGAGUGUCUGGAACCUUCCUUCUCUCACACAGCCCAGGGUUUUCAGAUCUGUCAGUCCCUUUCACGGCAUCUGCGAUGCACAGGAUCUUGGAAUCAGAGCAUCUUUCACAGCCUAAAGUUACCUUAAUGGAGUCUGAAUUGCUGAAUCUGAGAGUCUUGUCCUUUCACAAAGUCCCAG